CCUACGGGGGGCUGCAGUGGGGAAUAUUGCGCAAUGGGGGAAACCCUGACGCAGCGACGCCGCGUGAGCGAAGAAGGCCUUCGGGUCGUAAAGCUCUGUCAUCGGGGACGAAGGCUCUUUUGUGAAUAGCAAAAGAGGUGACGGUACCCGGGGAGGAAGCCACGGCUAACUACGUGCCAGCAGCCGCGGUAAUACGUAGGUGGCAAGCGUUGUCCGGAAUUACUGGGCGUAAAGGGCGUGUAGGCGGUCUGAUAAGUCAGGAGUGAAAAACCUGGGCUCAACCGAGGUAUUGCUUCUGAAACUGUAGGGCUUGAGUGCAGGAGAGGAGAGUGGAAUUCCCAGUGUAGCGGUGAAAUGCGUAGAUAUUGGGAGGAACACCAGUUGCGAAGGCGGCUCUCUGGACUGUAACUGACGCUGAGGCACGAAAGCGUGGGGAGCGAACAGGAUUAGAUACCCGAGUAGUC
rnacentral:rRNA from 1 species